rnacentral:misc_RNA from 1 species
GAUGAAGAACGCAGCGAAAUGCGAUACGUAGUGUGAAUUGCAGAAUUCAGUGAAUCAUCGAAUCUUUGAACGCACAUUGCACCUCUCGGUACUCCGGGAGGUAUGCCUGUUCGAGCGUCAUUUGUACCCUCAAGCUCUGCUUGGUGUUGGGUGUUUGUUCCGCCUCUGUGUGUGAACUCGCCUCAAAACAAUUGGCAGCCGGCGUACUUGUUUCGGAGCGCAGCACAUUUUGCGAUCCAGAUCAACGUACAGCGGCAUCCAAGAAGCCUUAUUUAACGCUCUUGACCUCGGAUCAGGUAGGGAUACCCGCUGAACUUAAGCAUAUCAAUAAGCGGAGGA